AUACGGAGGGUCCGAGCGUUAUCCGGAAUCAUUGGGUUUAAAGGGUCCGUAGGCGGGAAUCUAAGUCAGUGGUGAAAUCUUGCAGCUCAACUGUAAAAUUGCCAUUGAUACUGGAUUUCUUGAAUUAGUGUGAAGUGGUUAGAAUGUGUAGUGUAGCGGUGAAAUGCAUAGAUAUUACACAGAAUACCAAUUGCGAAGGCAGAUCACUAACACUAUAUUGACGCUAGGGGACGAAAGCGUGGGGAGCGAACAGGAUUAGAUACCCUAGUAGUCC
rnacentral:rRNA from 1 species